rnacentral:tmRNA from 1 species
CGGGCUGUAUGCAGCUAAAUUAAUUGACGGAAUCUAAGCAUGUAGAGCACUAAGCAGCGGACUGACGGACGGGGGUUCAAUUCCCCCCGGCUCCACCA